GAGGCUCAUUCUAGAUGCUGCAAUGCGAACAGACCACAGGAAGAAACAGCAGACGGUGAUUGGGUGGCUCCUGUGUAGUCCAGAGAAACCUCCCAGGUUGCCAAAGCCAGGUUUGCUUGUUCCCUACGACUUUGACCAAACCCAGAUGCCCUGGCCCAGAUAAUGAACUUGGUAAAUGUUAGCAUCCGUUUGCAAAUUGUCUUCUCCUCCAUCAAAGAGACGGGGACUGAGACCUGGAAAUACAUAAAAGCUUAAAGGCUAGGACCCACCACCGACUGAGAAUCCACAUAAAUGAUGCAAAACUCCUCUAAAAUUAUCAUACACUGUUCUCCACUCCUCCGAUUUGGUUCCCUUCUCCAGAACAUGAAGAUUUCUUACGGAGAUUACUUUAUCUUUCCCUUUACAAAAUCAGUUUUGAGGAAUUUCUGGCUCAUCGAGAGAAGCAGCCAUGACAUUGGGGUCAUCCUCCAGACAAAUAGCUCCUCUCGCCUGAUGAAAUCAGGAAGGUGCUUCUGGUGUCCAAGGGAUGAAUGUCUCAUCUCCUGGGAGGGGACUGAAGUCCUCGGCCACGGGAAGCCAGAACAUCUGUUACAGGCAUGAUCCAGCCUGCUGGCUGAGCGGAAUCUACGGAGGCACUUAGAAUAAAGCCUUGGGUCUUCAUCAGAAGACAUUGCCGUGGUCAUCAAGCCAUUUGCAGUGGAAUCCAGGAUGCGCUCAUAGGGACUAAAUACGCUUAUGAAAAAAUGGUUUAUAGUAUAAUAGUGGGUCCAAAAAGCUCACUGUCUCAGGCACUGACUUUCCUUUGGCUCAUUUGAAAAAAAAAGAUGGGGCACCUGGGUGGCUCAGUCGGUUAAGCGGCCGACUUCGGCUCAGGUCACGACCUCGCGGUCCGUGAG